rnacentral:tRNA from 2 species
CGGGAUGUGGCUCAGUCCGGUAGAGUACUCGCCUGGGGGGCGAGGGGUCGCAGGUUCAAAUCCUGUCAUCCCGACCA